ACUUAACAGGCGCUGAAUUCCUGUUUGGAAGCGGGGGACCCACUUUUUUGGGGGUGAGUCUUACCGGGAUGGUAAGUAGGGCCACUCUUUCGGCCCGAAUCCGUCAGCUAACCUCGUAAGCGUGGAAGGAGCGGCGAG
rnacentral:sRNA from 2 species